UCUCUCUUGACUGGCUGAUCUGUUUCAGAGCUAUCAUCUGUUAGGUUUUUUUCCUCUGAAGUGAUUCACUUCAAACUUCCUCUCUGAACCAGCCAUCAGACAUUCAAGGGGCCAAGAAGUAGAAGCAAGCUGCUUUUCUUAUUCUGGUAUCACUGUCUGUGUGGUGUAAAAAUCAGAAAGCAGAGAGGAGUUGGGCAGUGGGGAGACCUUUGUCAUGCUCCCUAAAAAUCCUUCUACUAGAAAAUCCUGUAAGGCUUGUAUUCAUUACUAUACAUCUUAACUAACUGAGUUUAUGUUUACUGUGGAUUAUUUCUUAUAGCGGUUCCAUCACGAUCAGGAUUUUUUAUUAGUGCUACGUAACUGAACAGAUUUUAUGUUAGUAAUGAGCACAUUAAUUUUAAAAAUCACUUUUUACCAACCACUCUUUUUCUUUUUGUGCAUUCUCAGAAAGUCUAACCAUGCCACUGUUGCCAGUUUCUAUUUUUUUUCUUUUCAUUCAAAGGCAUAAGAGUAUUUUAUUGAACCAGUUAACAAAAACCCUUCUUAGGACUGCCUAUUGUGAUGAUUGGGAACUAAGGCUCUAUUGGAAAAUUGAAAUAAGUGUUCUGAGUUAUCUAAUAGUGCACGUUACUAAUAGUACCCUUUUAUUCUAAGAUCUCAUAUUUACCUCUGCUCCGUUCUGUAGAUGACAUGCUAAAUACUUCAUACUGUAUUUUUAAAACAAAAAUGAGCAUUUUUCGUACCUUUUAUCCUCUAUGGAGUUGUGUGUUGUGGAGGAUUCCUAUUAGUAUGACUUUCUGGAUCUUCAAUACAUAUUGUUUUCUAAAAACUUUCAAGUAAUUGGUCCUUUCAAUACUAUUUCAGGGCAUGUUGGUUUUCAGGAAACAGGUAUCACAGCAGAAGUCUUACUGGUAUGUUUAUUAGAAUAAGUAAAUGUGCUUUUACAUCUCUAUUUAAAUUGUUCUUUGAUGAGCUUGUCAGAACAGUACACACAAAGCAGCAUUGGAGUACUAAUGUGGUAAUGGGGAAAAUAUCACCUUCAUUCUUUCUUGGAAGAUGUAGCUGCAAACAGCAGAAAAGCUGGGUGCAUGGGAAGUGUUGAUGGUGCUGUGACACCAUGGCUGUUGGCAGCAGGGCACAGGGCUCAUGGACAGAUAGGUUGAGAAAAUAGCAAUGUUUUGGUGAUUCUUCCCUUCAGGGCAGCCUACACACCAAGCAAGGAUGGUGCUGUGAGGGACUGGGAUGCUACUCUCUGCUGGGAGCAAGGCAGGAGUUGGUGCCACAGCUGGCAGCUGUGUGCCCCCUUGUCUCACACCACCACAAGUGCCUGGGGAGGGAAGCCGACUCCUUUGGGAGCAGCAAGCACUGGGCAGCCCAUGAGCACUGGGUGGUGGGAACAUAUGGGGUUUUUAACUGCGCCUAAUAAAAACCCAGCUGCCAGAGGCAAGCGAGAGGAUGGGAAUGUGAUUGUUCUCUGCCUGGCCUCAUUGUGAAGCUUGCUGCUGAAUUCUAUGUUAGCAGAGCCAAAAACAGCAGAACUAGAAUUAAAAUGUAGUUCUAAGGCAUAAUAGCAUGUUUGUUUCUUUGGGGAUUUUUUGUUUUGUUUGUUUGUUUUUUAAUAGCACAAUUAGGAAAUUUGAUCCUUUAUGGAAUACUUGGUUAAAAUGAGAAGGGCAUCAAUAUUUUAUUUUCCAAAUAAAUACAGAUUUGAAUUUCAUCACACAGAAUCCUUGUAAAAAUAAUUACAAAAACAGAUAUUAGCUGAGCAUGAACCAAACAACCCCUUGUUUACCUGAAUUAGAAAAAGGAUGAUUAAUGGAAAUGAGCAUGUUACAUUACUCAUUUGUCAAAAAAGAUCAAUAAUGUUAAAUACCCCAGGAAUGUCAUCAAGCUGCCCCUGCUGCUCUGCAAGUUUUAUGAACAAUUCUAGCAGAAAACUCUGUCUGAGGGACUGCUCCUGUACACCUAUACAGCUGCCUCCCUCCUCCUGUCCCUUCUCACUUGGUGCUGAUGAACAAGCCCUUCUCAUAGGCAGAGAAAAAAUUCAAAAAUAAGGAUGGCCAUUUUUUAUUUUUAUUUUUUUUACUUCAGUUUGGUUAUUUUGCAGUUCAGAUAGUUUCAUGAGAGCAGAUACAGUUUCUGUUAGGCAAAAUGUUAGCUCCAGGGAUGGGGUGGAGGAGGAUGGGUGAGCCCAUCAGUGCUGCCUGUGCAGCCAGAGGUGGGGCGGUGGGCCCUGCUGGCCCUGCUGCCACCAUGCAAUGCACAACAGAGCCUGGGGAGAGGCCGGGCUGUUGAGGGAUCACACUUUGCUUGUGGCAACAUUCUCUCUCCUUAGCUGCUCUGUAAUUAUUUUUUCGUUUCUGUGCUUCUUCGCGAUGCAAUGCAAAUUCCUGCAGGCAGCAGCACCUGCCAUGGAGGACCAAUUAGUGGUCACUGUGGGAAAACAUGUGCUGCUGUAUUGAGGUGGUGCUGAGCUGGUUCUUAUUAUGAGCCUUUUUCCAUCAAGAGUCCUGAGAUAUCAGAAAAUGGUGGAGCAAUAAAACCUAUUUAAAAACAAAUGCUUAGAAUUUAUAUUAAUUAAGUAAACUCUCUGGAAAAUCUUUUCAGAGUUAUGUUAAUGUUCAGGUUCUUUAGAUGUAGCAAGGACACAUUCCCUUAGUUUGCACAAAGUGGGGUACAGACUGUCAUAUAAUCUUACUGGUUUUUCAGAUUCCUCCUCUGAUUCUGAGUCAAUUUACCUUUCCCUUGGCUUGCUUUUUCCACCUACAAAUUAUGUACAUUGCUAUUUAAGUACCUGAGAGAGAAAUUUCAAGUUUUAAUUAGUGUUUGUAAAAUGCUUUGGGUUACUUGGAUCAAAGUGUGAUUUAUUAUUCAGUAAUGUAUAUUACUGCACUGUAGGUGUGCAUGUGCAUGAUGCAAAGUGGGGUACCAGUUAAUCUAUUCAUCUGUACUUUAAUAUCUGUUUAUAUAAUAUGGGUUGUUAAGGUUCAUAUUCUUUAAUUUCCAACAAGUUUGAUCAAAGAUGUUUUGAUUUUUCACAACCUCAGCUUUAAUACAUACUGCAGUGCAUUUUUAUUUGAAAAAGAUCCUAUCAUAUGAAGGGAAAGGAUGACUAACGCUCUGAAUUGGACUCUUCUGCAUUUUUUAAUUGAGCUUUUUGGUCCAUCUGAUAAAGAACACAUGCAUAUCGCACUGGCUUAAGGGCAUUCUAGGAGAUGAGGUCUGAGUUCUCCAUUGUGAUUUUAGGACAUCACGCUGGUGAAAAUCCCAUCAAAGCUAUGAUGUCAAGCUGUUGUCCAGCUCACUGGGAUACUGGAGUGUGCUGGAACCCAGGACUAUGCAGGCUUAGGUGUAUGAGCACUCUUAACAGGAUUUGCUUUCACGGAUCCUUGUGUAUGAGACCCAGCAGACUGGAACAAGCCAGGGAUUGUAUAUUUACAUCAUCUGAGAGAUAAUUUGCCAUCCGAGCAUUCAGACUCUGAAUCAAUCAUCUUUGUUUGCAUUUUCUUGAUAUGAACAGAUUUCUAUGCAAGUUGUUUUAAGUACAGGUGACUUUCCACAUGGUGAGAACAUCAGACCAAGUAAGCCUGAGAUUCACUCCAGUGCAAAUGCACACUUCCAGAGAUAUCUGGAGAGCUUGAGCCAGCCGAGUGAAUGUGUGCUAUCACCAACAGCAUCAUCCAGGUCCUCUUAAACCUUAAUUUCUUUCCUUCUCUGCCCCGUUCACUGUAGGUUUGUUCCCUGUGAAUGGUCCUUCUGAGCCCACUUAUUCAUUACUGAGCAGCAAGUGAGAGAGAACAAGAUGAAGAGGAACCUAUGGUUUUAGCACUUAAAAGCAAAAUAGGUAUCAGAAAUGUGUAGAUUGAAAGAGCAGAGCAGGAUUUCUGAUGGUGGAAAAGGUAAAGGUUGCAGACAAGGAAAUGCUUAGAGGAGGUCUGAAGAAGGAAAGCCGAGGGCCUGGGGAAGCUAUGCAAAACCCAUGUGAUAGGGAAAGAGGUCCUUGGCCUCGUGUGAUGCUGAGGGUGGACCAGCAGCCAAACAACAAAGUAAGAAAAGGAAAAAUAACGUUAAACUGCAGGGGUGCAAAUGCAGACUGUUUAUAAGAUGAAGGGGUGAUAAUAUGCCAGUACAAAAGCUGUGGGGAGGCCUCAAAGACAUGAGCUGGUACUUACUGGGGCUGCAGUGCAGUGAUCUCCCCUCAGCAAUGCUCCUAUAUUUUUCUGGAUUCUGUGAAGUUAGUAGCAGUGCAAUUAUAACGACCCUGAACUGAAGUUAAUUACUUUUGUUACUAGUAAUCAGAUCAACUGCAUCAUUUUGAUAGAACUGAAUGCAUGACUGAAUGCAUGACCUGUAUUGAAAAAAAAAAAAAAAAGAAAAAAAAUUGCUGGGUGGUUUUGAACCACAAGGUUGAAUUGAACUUCAGUGCAGUUUCUUGUUGAAAAAUAUACUAUGGAUGUAACUGUGUAUAUAUUAAAACAUAUGUGUGUAAGUAUGCAAGAUGUACGACGAUGUGCCCCACAACACCUUUACAGAUAUUUGUUUCAGUUUUGUAAAAAACACAAAUGUAAGUGAUUAACAGUGGUUUGAAGCAAAGCUGACUCUGAUAAAUUAGAAAAGGAAUUCACUAUGCUUUUUUAAAGCUGCAUUCUUGUACAAGAAGCUAAUUGAUAAUAUUGGGGGUGUGUGUGGGGGGGGGAAAUAGGAGGAACUGCUCAGGAUUGUGGCCACUAUGGCAAGGUCUGUUAUUUUCUCUUUCCUUCCGGUCUCCAAGGUUUCACUCUCUCAUGUGACCCUAAAGAGUGGACACAAAAGAUACGUAUUUGCUUGAAAGGCAAGAAAUAAUAAAAUAAUAUGUCUUGACUUUAAGUGGUUCCACACAGCACUGGCUCUUGAGUCUGAUUUUCUUGCCUGUCUACAUAUGGCCCUCUCUCAGUUCUUUUGCUAUUGUGUUCAGUGUCACUUUUGCUGAAGGGAAGUGGCUGAAAUGUCACUUUAACCAAACAUCUUGAGAUUUUAGAGGCAGUCCUGAACUUGAAAAGAGUCUGAUUCUCAUGAGAAAAUCCUGCUGCUGGACAGGGAGAUGUAAAUCACAGCUGGCUUCCAAAAUUAGCCAGAAAACAGAUUUUUUGCAAAAUUGUGUAGACAGCAAGGCUGGGCUCUGACAGCCUGAGGAAUCCAGCUUCACCGUGACAUAGGGCUGCACAGUUCAUCUGCGUGCCUGCUGGAGAUGUUCUGCUGGUACCAACCCAAAGGUAAAACUGCCACAUGCCUUCUUCACACUUUCCUAUACUGUCCUCAGCCCCUGUCAGUAUUACGUAACAAUUCCCAUUAUUAUUAUUCUCCCUUAUUUUAAACUUCUGAUUACUUUUAGUUUUCAUUGCAGGUCAGGGAAAUGGAAGUUUGUUGCUGAGCACUGGUGUCUGGAGGGACUGGCUGUGACUGCAAAUAGCUGUACAUCACGUCCAUGCUGCUGCUGUUAUAGUCUGAAUGGGAAUGGAUGGUGAAGAAGACUGGAUCCCUGCACCCUCCCCAGGGACCAACACCUACUUUCCCUUGGCCAAACCAUGUUCAGGUUGGGUGGAGAGUACCAGAUAUAUACACCAAAGGACAGAGUGACCACUGGCUGUAUCUCUUCUUGGUUUUGGGAGUUUUUUUCUUACUUUCAAAAGAUGCAAGAUAGAUUUGCCAUGGAAUGACCUAGAGUAUGAUGCAAGCACGCUAAUGUCGUCCGAUGCCUGUGAAACCAGAUAUUUCCUCCUGUGUCCCAUGCUACAGAUGAGAAGACCAAAGGUGAAAGAGAGAACAGCCGAGAGACCAUCCACAGAGAGAGAUGGGCAAUUGUGAGAAGAGGUCGAGAACAGAAUAGGAAAGAAGGAGCGGCAGAGCUGGAGGCCAGCGGAAGGACAGAGGCCGUGAGUAGGAGGUGGACCCACUCAUCCCACACGUAAACUCUUUUCACUGAGGCAGCAGGGAGCAAUCUCUCUGAAAAGCACCUACCACAAGGAAGGCCUGACUCUUCCUGUGCCUUAAAGACAUGAGUGAAACAGAGAUAUUCAGUCUCGAAACAAAAGCAGGCAAAGUGAAGUUGGGAAUAUGACGGGCGUUUGACUGCAAAGGCUCAUGAGCAGGAGAGUGCUGGCUGCCCCCUUGAGUGAGAGCUGCACCAUCAAGUCGCCCAAGCUGCACAUAGUUACUCAAAAGAGUUCCUUCAGGAAAAACAGAAAUGCACAGUACAGGCUGACUUGUGGGGAAUGUGACCACCAGUGUGCAGGUUUCCAUGGACUUACCGGGAUUAUAAUGAAUUAAAACACAAUAAAAAUAACCUGAUUAAGGUUAUUAAGAGGUUAUAUCAUCCUUAAGCCAUACAAAGGCUCAUGAAUAAAGGAGUGGCUGUCAGCGGAGAGGUCUGUAGUAUGAUUAAAAUUGUGGAAAAAAAACAAAAAUACUUUCCCAUCUGGAAGGGUAAGAUGAUGAAGAUUUACUGUCAAAGAAUGUUCUGAAAAGUCCUUUUCUUCCAUGCAGCUCAGGCUGGAGAACAUCCAAUUCACUUUUUCAUAUCCAACUAUGAAUGAAGCAGAAAGUACUAUGAUUUUUUCUGUAGUUUGGAUAUUAGCAAGUGUUUGUUAUGAAGGACAGCAGCACAUCGUGAUAUUAGCAAACUCAGGGGAAAAAAAAAUAAAAGGUGGGUAUGUCUCUUAGAUUUUUCUAGGUUUACUUUAUCUCACUGAAGCAAUGGAAAAUCAGUGUGAAAAGCCACUAACCCAACCAUCAUUCUGCUGUGCACAGAGAACCAGCAUCCCUUAGCAAGCCUUAUAGUAUCGCAUCCCUUUAUUAAAGCUGGUCAGAUAAACUAACAACUAUGUCACUCCUGCAGCAAGUUUCAGGAGGCCACAACUCCAUGAACCUGAAAGUUUGACUGCUGACAAGAAGUUGCUUGAAGUGGAAGUGUUACAAAGAAGCCACCUUCCCCACAGCAUUACUGCCCUGGCUUCUGUCCCCAUCUGCUCAGCGGUGCUGUGGGGCAGGCGUGCCAGCAGGCUCUGAGCAGCAGGUCCCGUGUGCUGCUGAGCUUCUCAUCAAACGCCCUGUGCUGCAUGGAUGCCUUCCUCCAGCUGGCAGUUUGAACACUUCAGUCCAGCUAGAUCUGCAGAAGUGAAUGAAGGUGGAGACUUGUGCAUUUCCGAAGCUGCUGUUUCUAGGUGGUCUUCAGGCUCAUAUAGCCAGCAAUGAACAUUCCUGUUAUAUUUACAAAUGUAACGAGGGUGGAAUUUGCACAUGACAGCGGAGGAUUUUUUCCAUGCUGUUGGCCACAGAUUCAGCAAACCAAGACAAAAAGGCAGAUUGUCCGCAGCCCUGUCUGCAGCACAGGCUCUCUGCAAAAAUCUCCUCAGCGCUCUGACGGGUUCACCCCCACUGCCUUCAGCUGUGUCGGGAGCUCCAGCACAGAUGAGUGAACAGCAUUUUAAGUACCAUGUUUAUUCAACGUGCUCUAAGCAGGGUUAGAUAAUACGAUAUUUAUAAAGCCCAAUUCUCUGCACACUUGAGGGUUGCCCACCUCGCUAGCACUGAUGCAGCUGAGCUGAUAUUAGCGGUGGUGAGGGAUGGCUGUAAAUUUUGCCUCAUGUAGACAAGGCGGACAAGGUAAGCGGGCAGAACCUCGCUGCCGCCGCGUGCCGAGGAAUGGAACCUUUUAUUUGCUGUCAUAGUGAUGACUUUUAAUUGUCCCAAUAAACAAGCUUUUAAAAAGCUUCUAAAAUGUUCUCUAAUAACACACUUUGGUCUUUAGCCAUAGAAAUGCAGAAAUAAUUAGAAGUGCCAUUGUGUACAGUGCCUUCUGGACUGGGCUGAAGGUGAAGGAGAAAGUAUCAUGCUAUCCUUGUCAGCUGCAAGGGUAAUUACUGCUGGCUGAAAUUACUCAACAUUUGUUUAUAAGCUCCCCAGAGCAUGCUGUAAAUAGAUUGUCUGUUAUAGUCCAAUCACAUUAAAACGCUGCUCCUUGCAAACUGCUACCUCCUGUUUUCUGUAAGCCAGGCAGAGAAAGCCUGCUGCUCACUUAUUGAGCACCAAGCACUGAAGAGCUAUGUUUAAUGUGAUUGUUUUCAUUAGCUCUUCUCUGGCUGAUAUUGCAUUUGUAGUUUGCUAGGCUUGAAAACCGGUAUGUUGCAUUGCUUUCAUUUGUUGUAGUGAGAGUGAUUAUCUUUAUUUCUGGAGGGUGUAUGCAACAGUUGAUGGGAAUUUUGGAACAGCACAAGCAUGGGAAUAUCUACAGACACUCGUUCUCCUCUCGAGCAAUGGUGUUUUUCUAUUUGCCUUUUAAAUGCUUCUGUACUUGUUCCAGUAGUGGUCACAUUGCCUAAAUUGUCCUUUGAAGGAUGAGAAGUAUUUUCAUAAAAGGUUAGAAAGAAUGUAUUUUCCUUAGCACUGAAUUUUGCAGUACAGCAUUGUCCUGUCCAUUAUGACCUGAGUUCUAUGAAAUAGUGAUGCAGCCACAGCCUGUCUGUUUGAUUUGCUCUCAGCAUGAUUUACCACAUCAUAUCACUACAGCCCAGGUAUUUCCAAUAAAUAUGGGGCCAAAUUCAUCGCUGACAUAUGCAGACGCAAUUCCAUUGCUAUCGAUAGAGUUGCAUUUGCUCCCACCAAGGUGAAUCUGGCCACUAAACUGAAGAUUUAGGGGAACGAGGUGGAAUUUUGAAGAAAAAAAAAAAAAGCAAAUCCCCAAAACCAGCCCCCUCUACACCACAACCACUGUAUAUUAACAAAAAAAUAAAGGCACUACAGAUCCAUUACCAGGGCAGAAAUUUGUAACCCCUGUUUCAUGAGUAAUUCAUGAGAACACACACAAAGGGUAUUUCAACAGCACUCAUUUUUAUUUACCACUGAUUACUCCCCCAAAUCAGUACUGAUUAUAUAGAAUGAAGUGUGGCCCCUUCAUGUCGCAUUUAUUUGAAAAGGCUAGCAACAGCAAGCUGUUCUGCCUGCACCCAUAGCUGGGAAAAAGUCUGGACAUUAGGGAAAUUUAAGCAGGUUUUCUUUAAACCCUGAUACUGCCCUGGUGUAAAUUCUCAUGGAAGACAUUGCAGCCACGACAGCUUACACCAGCUAUUGAGCUUCCCAGGAAAUAAUGCAACAAAGCAGCAGCGUUAGUGACCAGUAGACAAUUACUGAGGGAACACAGAUAAUUGGAAGAAAAUAAAUGACCUGGAUAGAAUAGCGACUAUAAAAUGAAGUGCAGACAAAAUCACUGUGCUGAAUGCUUUCCAGAAUCCCAUGUCCCAGGUGCCUUUCUUCCCAAUUUUAAGAUCUGCAUCAAGCUUCUGUUCUCAGCAAACCAGCCAGGAAAGGAUUAGAAUUGAGAUCUGGAUAUCCACAUUUUCUUCUAACUGGAAUCACUGCCUGUGGAAAACUGUCCUUCUGGGAAAGAUGCUGGAGUGCUAGAAAUGAUGAUUCAAUUGCCCAUUAAGAUAAUUCCUGGAAGUACUACUUUCUUGAGGCUGUGCUUCCAGGAAUGGCAAUCGCAGCAUCACUUCUUUGACAAAGCGAUAGGGAUCUCCAGAAGUGGAUGCAGCAGGUGAAUAUUUCCAGUUACUGCAAGCAAUGCACCACAGGUUAGAUCUCGUGGUUAUCUUUAUUUGCAAAAAGCUAACUAAUACAGCAUAUUGCAAUGCUCUGAUGAUGAAUUACACCAAUUGUUUUGCAAUAAACUGAAGCUCUUCUGCAAUCCAGGUAACAUUUUUUAUGUUCCUAUUACUGCUUUUUGUGCUAUUAGAGAAGCAGUGAAUCUUUAAAGAGAAACUUCCUACAGCUAAAAAAGACAUUAAGGGGGAAAAAAGCUGGGAGCCAUAGUGACAGGUACAACUAAGGCUGUAUCCUUCGGUUCCCUGGAAACCAGUCAAACACUAUCUCAUCUUGCAAUGGUUGUGUCUGAUCCUCCGCUUCAGACAUCUUCCUAAUAAUGGCAACUACAGAGGUGACUCUCUGCAAAUAAGGGCUUACAGCAACUGGACAUCCAUCAUAUAUCUCCAGAGCAACAUUAGACCACCCUAAUGGGUACUCCCGUCUUCAUUAUGAUAUUAAUUCUCUAAAUUUCCAAAGUGAUUUCAUUUGUAAAAUGACAAAGGCUGGCUGCUCAGGAGACAAACUGUUUUCAUCCCCCUCCUGCAUGCUUACAAAGGCUUGCUCUCUUUAGUCUUUGGGGGAAAAGAAAUUUGAUAGCAUCAGAUCUCUUGUGAUACACAAGGCUGCCUAACAGCUACACCACCUGCCAGCACUGCAUGCCUGCCCAUCCAGCCUGAAGAUUUCUAAAGCAAUGGUUGAUGAGGAGAACAUGGAGGCUGGUUUGGGAGGGGGCUGGGGGGAAGCUAUGCAGAGAGAAAAUAGAGGCUGUAUAAAAUACUCAGUGUGAAAGUGAGGCAGGAUUGAGGGUAAGGGUGAGGUCAGAGCCAAGGCUGGAAGCUGAAUCAAUCUGAACAAGGUUGGUUUGGUUAGAUUAGGUAAAAGCAUGAUUUUCUCCCUGGUGAAUCAAAGCCAUUGCUGUGGCUACAAAUUCACUGUCAGCCAACCAAAGCAAACAUUGCACAAAGAAGCUAUUUUUUUUUUGCAUAGAUCCUGAUCUCCUAACUCUUUAGGAUUAAAUAAAAUAGAGAUUAAAUUAAAAAGGAAAUCAGUAAACCUGUGACAUCUCCAGUACUUGCCCCAAAUAGCGACUAACUAAAGUGUCUGAAUGAACAAUAGUGAGGAAAUUAGGAGGUUCUUCCAAGGGCAGCAAUAAUUGUAACCUGACUGGUGAAUGAAUUUGGAAGCAAUCGAAACAGAACAGCAUUUAAUGUACUGAAAAGUUGAGAAGACACCAAUCUCAUUAGGUUUCAUCCUGCUUUAAGAGAGCACCCAAAUGGCAUCCUGAAGUUUGCCUAUGUCUGGCUUUCAUUUCAUUUACACUCCUCAUCUUUCUGUCAACAGAGCUGGGUGUACAUGGGCAUCGGCACGAGGGAAGCCUGCUCUAUACCUAGGCUCCUUCUUUCUGGGAAGACUGCCUUUGGCAACCAGAUUCGUCCUGCUUGCUUCUAUUCAUGGGGAAGACAUUCUGGCUUUGCCUUGAACUUUGCCUUUUCUGAAAGAGGUACUAAACUACUGCUCCUUUCCAGCUUCAGAUGCUUCUGAACGGUUGAAGGUAAAGCUUACUAUGUCAUCUCAGUAUGGACAACAGACUGCGUGAUUCAUUCAUAGUGCUUGCAUGUUUCCUGACUGACCUCUUUUUCCUCAUCUGACUUGAAAGAAAAGAUGCCAGCAAUGAUCUUGGGAUGAAGACAUUGUGCACAUAACAGCAUGUUUACCAGGUACGUCUGGCAGUAGGGAGAUAGAUGAGGUCUGUGAACUUCUCAGAAUACCUAAAAGUUGUUGUGGUGGAGCUUGGAACCCUGUCAUGCUGGUGUGUGUACAAACAUGUGGUCUCCCAUCCCGAGGAGGAUCAAAAGAACUCCACAACUGCAAGAGGAGAGGCAGUUCUUUCCCCUUAAUUUACACACAUGAAACCAAGAACAAGAAACCAACAGAAUGACUAGGUGCCAGCAAUUCACUUGGAGACGAGAGAAUUGUAGAAAAUUUGGAUCCCCUUACUGUGGUUCACAGCAAAGAAAAUGGUUCAUCUCCCACUGCUCCAAUGGGUGCAAGACUUGGGAAGGAGAAGGAGAAACUCCCUGCUCUCAUCACCAUGUGGAGAGGGAGAUCUGCACCCCUGGGCGGGAGUCAGCAUGAAUUUUCUGCAGAAAAGUGUUAAGAUCUCAGCUGUAGGUAAAUAUUUCUACAGCAUUUUCAACACAAUCCUUUUAUACCAUGCUUUGCUUGCUCCAGAAGUCUUUCAUGUGAGAGAAAAUGGACAGAGAUGAAAACCCACAUCUGAUCUGAUGCUUUGGCAAGCUGUGUUUUCUUACACCCACAGGAGAUGAAGAGUUCUGGCCCUUCAGAAUAAUGGACAAAGAACUUGCAUUAGCAUUCUUUCAUUGUCCAUGUGUCACUCAGAUGACCAAGGCAAAACCGCACAGACCCUGGAUCCUGGGCAGGACAGGAUCAUGGUAUGAAGAGUAAGAGAAAGUUUCACAGGAUAAGUGAUGGCCAAGUGAAGUUUCUCUUUUUGUGCUUUACAGACCUGACAGCUGCAUCUCUUUGAACUGUGGCAAUGAAGAGCAGAGCAGUUCCUCCAGCUGAGGCUACAGGGACUCUGCUAUGCGGGACUUGAAGAGUGAGGAACUAAGAAUGCUAUACCUUCCUUCCUGCCAUCUGUACGGCUCUAAUACUGGAGACCUUCUGAAGAAUGUGCUUGAGACUACAGAUGCAGGCUGGGGCCAGCUUCCUUUGCCCUUCAGAGUAUGAAAAAUUGGGGAAAAAGAAACUAGGCCUUUUUCAUUUAAUCAUAAUUUAUAUAUUUAAUUUUGAUAUAAUAAUGGCAACUUUUCAACAAGUUAUGACUUCUGUCUUACAAUAUAAACUGAUCAUAAAAUUGCAACAAACAAAAUCCAUUGUAACAGUAGGAUUUCAUACUUAAUUUUAUUUAUGAUAUUAAUAUAAUUAUGCGAUUUUAUAACAAAUCUCACUAACAGAUGAAAGACUGUUUAAGACUAUAGUAUGAAAAGUCCUACAUUCAUUCCAGACUCUGUGUGAGAGGGUUAAUGUCUUAGCACAGUGGAAUCACCUCUGGAUUAAUCUAGAGGACUCAGAUCUGUCCUACUCAACUCUCCAAAACCAGCAUGAUAAUCAGCAAGUCUCUACAAGGAGCUGAAGAGUUAAACAAUCA